rnacentral:rRNA from 1 species
GAGAGAGACAUGCGCGCAUAUCAAUAAGCGGAGGAAAAGAAACUAACAAGGAUUCCCCUAGUAACGGCGAGUGAAGCGGGAAGAGCUCAAAUUUGAAAUCUUAAAGGGUUUCCCUUUACGAAUUGUAGUUUAAAGAAGUGUUUUCUGUUGAGGUUUUGGUAAAAGUUCUUUGGAAUAGGACAUCAUAGAGGGUGAGAAUCCCGUAUUUGACCUUUACUUUCAACUUUGUGAUACACUUUCAAAGAGUCGGAUUGUUUGGGAAUGCAGUCCAAAAUGGGUGGUAAAUUUCAUCUAAAGCUAAAUAUUGGCGAGAGACCGAUAGCGAACAAGUACCGUGAGGGAAAGAUGAAGAGAACUUUGAAAAGAGAGUUAAACAGUACGUGAAAUUGUCAAAAGGGAAGCGUUUGACACCAGUGUUGUUUUUCUGAAAUCAAUUAAAGAACUGUUUAUGCUAAGCUGUUUAGACUUUAUCAGCUAACUGUUUAGUUUUGAGCUUUUCUUUAAUGCACUUUUCAGUUAACAAGUCAACAUCAAUUUCUCUUGCUGUAAAAAAGCUUGAGGAAGGUGGCUUGAGAUUCGUCUUAAGUGUUUAUAGCCUCUUGCCUAUGCAGUCGGAGAGAUUGAGGUCUGCAGCGUAGAUCCUUCGGGGCUAAAUGCAUUUGUGCUAAGUUAUAGCAUUUUAUAGACAACUUGUUGACUAUGAUUUGUCUUGUAGCUUACUCGCUUAUGUUAUUUUACCUACGCUUAGGAUGUUGAGCGCAUGUCUCUCUCU